GAGACAGACGAGCGGAGACACCUGCAGAGGCGGAGACCACGCUGAGCUGCGAACAGAAGCAAAGGGGGUAACAGACGCGGUUCUCGGCGGCCUGGCCAGGAAAGGCGGCCUAGCCGCGCCAUCCCGGGCACUGCCAGAAUCCAGCCUCCUGGUGCUCUGGAGGCCUGCACGGGGCGCUGCCUGCAGGGGCGCCGCCUCCCCUUCGCCCACCCCGGCUCCGAGGGCUCUUCAGCGCAGCCGCCAGGGCUUCGGUGGCAAAGUCACCUCCUGCCAGCCGGACCACGACGGUCAAGUUACUUCCCGAAGACCCCACUUCUCCCCCUGUCUGAGGGGGUGACAGCGCACAGCGGGGAGGCUCUGGCCUCCGCGUGAGGGCGCGGGGCAGGCACCCGCAGAGGUGCGGGGGCACACAGAGGCUGAGGGUGAGGGGACACUGAACCGAUUGCAGCAGAGCCUGAUCCAGGGUCAGGGAAAGGCCAGGUCGACAGGAGCACACAGGAAGACUUCCUGGAAGAGGCGACAUCAGAGUCCUGGCUCAGUGUCUUGAGCCUCCGCUCUAAAGCGGGGCGGAGCCUCCCUGCCACAGGCGCGUGUGCGAGUGAACCACGACUGGCGGUUUUCUGCGCCUCCCUGGACUCACCCUCUGGGCACGUGGUCUAGCGUUCUCUCCUCGUGACCCGGAGCCACCGAGAGCAGGAUCUCGAGUUGAAGGACGAAACUCCAAUGGAAGGGUCCCAACAUCUUCCACUGACCUGAAAUCUUGAGAUCACCCUUGAGUCCUCUUUUCUGUCAAAUCCCACAUCGAAUCCAUCAGCAAAUCUUGCUGGCUCUGCUCACCGACACUCCUCGUGCUCACUCCAGUCCUGGCCGGCAUCACGUUCCUUGCUUCGCUAACAACCUCUCCCCACAGUUACUCUUCACGCAGCAGCCACGGCACCUCUGCUCCAAACCCUCGAGAGGCCACGUCCUUAGAAGGACCUACAAGGUCCUGCUCAUCUGGGCCCAGCUUGCCCCGGCCACCUCCCCGCCACACCGGCCCCUCUGCACGCCUCCAGCAGCCCAUGCGUGUUCCCGCUGUU